AUUGAACGCUGGCGGAAUGCUUUACACAUGCAAGUCGAACGGCAGCACGGGUGCUUGCACCUGGUGGCGAGUGGCGAACGGGUGAGUAAUGCACCGGAACGUAUCCAAUAAUGGGGGAUAACGCACCGAAAGGUGUGCUAAUACCGCAUACGCCCUGAGGGGGAAAGCGGGGGAUCGUAAGACCUCGCGUUAAUGGAGCGGCCGAUGCCGGAUUAGCUAGUUGGUGAGGUAAAGGCUCACCAAGGCGACGAUCCGUAGCCGGUCUGAGAGGACGACCAGCCACACUGGAACUGAGACACGGUCCAGACUCCUACGGGAGGCAGCAGUGGGAAUUUUGGACAAUGGGCGCAAGCCUGAUCCAGCCAUUCCGCGUGAGUGAAGAAGGCCUUC
rnacentral:rRNA from 1 species